rnacentral:rRNA from 1 species
UAGGGAAUCUUCCACAAUGGACGCAAGUCUGAUGGAGCAACGCCGCGUGAGUGAAGAAGGUUUUCGGAUCGUAAAGCUCUGUUGUUGGUGAAGAAGGAUAGAGGCAGUAACUGGUCUUUAUUUGACGGUAAUCAACCAGAAAGUCACGGCUAACUACGUGCCAGCAGCCGCGGUAAUACGUCGGUGGCAAGCGUUGUCCGGAUUUAUUGGGCGUAAAGCGAGCGCAGGCGGAAUGAUAAGUCUGAUGUGAAAGCCCACGGCACAACCGUGGAACUGCAUCGGAAACUGUCAUUCUUGAGUGCAGAAGAGGAGAGUGGACGUCGAUGUGUAGCGGUGGAAGCCGUAGAUAUAUGGAAGAACACCAGCGGCGAAGGCGGCUCUCUGGUCUGCAACUGACGAUGAGGCUCGAAAGCAAAGGUAGCGAACAGG